ACUAUGUGUUGUUGGGUAGGGGAGCGUUCUGUAAGCCUGUGAAGGUGUGUCGUGAGGCAUGCUGGAGGUAUCAGAAGUGCGAAUGCUGACAUAAGUAACGAUAAAGCGGGUGAAAAGCCCGCUCGCCGGAAGACCAAGGGUUCCUGUCCAACGUUAAUCGGGGCAGGGUGAGUCGACCCCUAAGGCGAGGCCGAAAGGCGUAGUCGAUGGGAAACGGGUUAAUAUUCCCGUACUUGGUGUUACUGCGAAGGGGGGACGGAGAAGGCUAUGUUGGCCGGGCGACGGUUGUCCCGGUUUAAGCGUGUAGGUGUGUGUUCCAGGUAAAUCCGGUUCACUUUAACACUGAGGCGUGACGACGAGGCACUACGGUGCUGAAGCAACAAAUGCCCUGCUUCCAGGAAAAGCCUCUAAG
rnacentral:rRNA from 1 species